AUUGAACGCUGGCGGCAUGCCUUACACAUGCAAGUCGAACGGCAGCGGACCUUCGGUGCCGGCGAGUGGCGAACGGGUGAGUAAUAUAUCGGAACGUACCUUUCAGUGGGGGAGUAACGUAGCGAAAGUUACGCUAAUACCGCAUAUUCUGUGAGCAGGAAAGCAGGGGAUCGCAAGACCUUGCGCUGAUUGAGCGGCCGAUAUCAGAUUAGCUAGUUGGUGAGGUAAAGGCUCACCAAGGCGACGAUCUGUAGCGGGUCUGAGAGGAUGAUCCGCCACACUGGAACUGAGACACGGUCCAGACUCCUACGGGAGGCAGCAGUGGGGAAUUUUGACAAUGGCGGCAAG
rnacentral:rRNA from 1 species